CUAGACCCGUGGCGAACAGCUCAGUAACACGUGGCCAAACUGCCCUGUGGACGGGGAUAAUCUCGGGAAACUGAGGCUAAUCCCCGAUAGGGCUUCCAUCCUGGAGUGGAGGAAGUCCAAAAGUUGCGCUGCGGCACCACAGGAUGUGGCUGCGGCCGAUUAGGUAGACGGUGGGGUAACGGCCCACCGUGCCAGUAAUCGGUACGGGUGAUGAGAGUCAGAGCCCGGAGACGGUAUCUGAGACAAGAUACCGGGCCCUACGGGGCGCAGCAGGCGCGAAACCUUUACACUGCACGACAGUGCGAUAGGGGGAUUCCGAGUGCGAGGGCAUACAGUCCUCGCUUUUCUGGACCGUAAGGAGGUCCAAGAAUAAGGGCUGGGCAAGACCGGUGCCAGCCGCCGCGGUAAUACCGGCAGCCCGAGUGAUGGCCGAUAUUAUUGGGCCUAAAGCGUCCGUAGCUGGCCAGACAAGUCCGUUGGGAAAUCCACGCGCUCAACGCGUGGGCGUCCAGCGGAAACUGCCUGGCUUGGGGCCGGAGGACUCGAGGGGUACGUCCGGGGUAGGAGUGAAAUCCCGUAAUCCUGGACGGACCACCGGUGGCGAAAGCGCCUCGAGAAGACGGCUUCGACAGUGAGGGACGAAAGCUCGGGUCUCAAACCGGAUUAGAUACCCGGGUAGUCCGAGCUGUAAACGAUGCUCGUUAGGUGUGGCACCCACUACGAGUGGGUGCUGCGCCGUAGGGAAGCCGCUAAACGAGCCGCCUGGGAAGUACGUCCGCAAGGAUGAAACUUAAAGGAAUU
rnacentral:rRNA from 1 species